rnacentral:misc_RNA from 1 species
GAAAUGCGAUACGUAAUGUGAAUUGCAGGAUUCAGUGAAUCAUCAAAAUCUUGAACGCACAUGGCGCCUUCGAGUCCUUGGAUUCUGAGGCAUAUCUGUUUGAGUGUCAUUUACCCCUCUCACAAAAACUAACACUUUUUGUGGACUUUGACUGUUGCGUGCCGACUCCUCACGGAUGACGCGCACAUCGGUUUAAAUUGAGCGGUGAGAAGUUGCUUGACAACUCCUCGAACAAUGGCUGGGUAAGUUCUUAAUUGAACAAACUAAGCUUUUGAUUGGGGGCCAAAGUAGUCAGCAGCGCUUGCCUGCGCAGGAUUGCUCCGCGGAAGGUUGAUAGAGGCCUCACGGCUUCGGUCUUCUCUCUGCUGGCAAAACAAACCCUUUGACCUCAAAUCAGGUA